GCUCAACCGGGGAGGGUCAUUGGAAACUGGGGAACUUGAGUGCAGAAGAGGAGAGUGGAAUUCCACGUGUAGCGGUGAAAUGCGUAGAGAUGUGGAGGAACACCAGUGGCGAAGGCGACUCUCUGGUCUGUAACUGACGCUGAGGCGCGAAAGCGUGGGGAGCGAACAGGAUUAGAUACCCUGGUAGUCCACGCCGUAAACGAUGAGUGCUAAGUGUUAGAGGGUUUCCGCCCUUUAGUGCUGCAGCAAACGCAUUAAGCACUCCGCCUGGGGAGUACGGUCGCAAGACUGAAACUCAAAGGAAUUGACGGGGGCCCGCACAAGCGGUGGAGCAUGUGGUUUAAUUCGAAGCAACGAGAAGAACCUUACCAGGUCUUGACAUCCUCUGACAACCCUAGAGAUAGGGCUUCCCCUUCGGGGGCAGAGUGACAGGUGGUGCAUGGUUGUCGUCAGCUCGUGUCGUGAGAUGUUGGGUUAAGUCCCGCAACGAGCGCAACCCUUGAUCUUAGUUGCCAGCAUUCAGUUGGGCACUCUAAGGUGACUGCCGGUGACAAACCGGAGGAAGGUGGGGAUGACGUCAAAUCAUCAUGCCCCUUAUGACCUGGGCUACACACGUGCUACAAUGGGCAGAACAAAG
rnacentral:rRNA from 1 species